rnacentral:rRNA from 1 species
UACGGGGGGUGCGAGCGUUGUCCGGAAUCACUGGGCGUAAAGGGCGCGUAGGUGGCGUGAUAAGGGUGUGGUGAAAGCCCGGGGCUCAACCCCGGGUCUGCCAUGCCGACUGUCAGGCUAGAGUACCGUAGGGGCAGGCGGAAUUCCGGGUGUAGCGGUGGAAUGCGUAGAGAUCCGGAGGAAGACCGGUGGCGAAGGCGGCCUGCUGGGCAGUUACUGACACUGAGGCGCGACAGCGUGGGGAGCAAACAGG